UGAAUUUCAUUUUUCCCUUUCCAGUUUCCAUCUUUCCUUUCCAAAGCUCCAAGCCUCCACCCUUCUGCUGCAGUCGCGCAGCCACAGAGAUAGAGCAGACCUUCAGUCCUUCCAACGCACAAAGACAAGAGCUGCACAAAUCGCAUAACUCCAUGCCUCUGCCUUCAGGACCUCGACCACACCUCCGUCUCCACCUCCACGCGACACGAUUGCAAGGUAUUUGCUGCCUGCCUCAACCUAAAUCUCCACCCAAAUCUCUGUCCCAGGCUUCCAGCUUUGCCUCAUAUUUCCACAGCUAUUAUUCUCUUCAACCCAUAUAUGGUGCUACCUCAAAUCCAUCGUUCUCCUCCUCGUCCUUAGAUCUGCAAAGCUAAAAGGUCUUGAUGCGAGUAAUUUUAAUGAUACAAAGCAAGCCAUGCAAGAAGAAUCAUUAGCUUCAAAUAUCUCAGUUAAAGAGGAAGAACAAUGACUUGAAGUUGAAGUUGAAGUUGUGCUUGGGGCUUAAGUUGUUGAUUAUUGACUUGUUGCACUUAUUGCUUAGAAGUUACUUGUAUUUGUUAAAUUGCAUUUUCUGAAUUGUUGUUAUUUUUUGUCUUAUGAAUGCUACUGCUGAAAUGUUG